GUAGGUGAACCUGCGGAAGGAUCAUUAACACGUAUCCAACGUUAAAAACCCCGUGAACCUUUAUAUCGCUGCUCCUCAUUGCUAAGUCUCGGAAAAAGCCAAAACAGCAAUCCCUGCACUCCGUCGUAGAAAACGGAAGGAGGGGGGACCUCUGACUUUGGCCGAGCUGAGCGCUUGGUAAGGUGGCUUGUUUUUCCCCAAGCAGUCAUUGAAUGACAGUGUCAUUGAUUGUCUAAGGAUUUCGCUAAGCGACCACUAGAGGUCGAUCACCGACCGGUGGAACAAGUCACAGGGCUUCGGCUCCCUCCCCAACCCCACUUUCUAUUGCCGCUCCGCGCUAACACGCCGGGCAUUCAAAAACGUACUAAACAACUGUUAACAAUGGAUAUCUUGGUUCUC
rnacentral:misc_RNA from 1 species